rnacentral:rRNA from 1 species
UACGGGGGGGGCAAGCGUUGUUCGGAAUUACUGGGCGUAAAGGGCGUGUAGGCGGCCAACUAAGUCCGACGUGAAAUCCCUCGGCUUAACCGGGGAACUGCGUCUGAUACUGGAUGGCUUGAGUUCGGGAGAGGGAUGCGGAAUUCCAGGUGUAGCGGUGAAAUGCGUAGAUAUCUGGAGGAACACCGGUGGCGAAGGCGGCAUCCUGGACCGAUACUGACGCUGAGGAGCGAAAGCCAGGGGAGCAAACGGG